GUGAGUGGGGCGGGCACGAAGCGGAGCCGGCUGAGGGGGGCGUGGUGGAGCGUUGAAGGAUGGCGGCCGCGAUGGCGAGCGCUGCGGAGCGGGCAGUGUUGGAAGAAGAGUUUAAAUGGCUUUUGCAGGAGGAGGUUCAUGGUGUCCUGAGACAGCUGCAGGAUAUUCUGAAGGAGGCUUCUCACAGAUUUGCUUUGCCUGUUGGUGGCACAGAAGGACCAGUCAAACAGGAGAAUUUUAUUCUGGACACUUCAAGCGCAGACCAGGUGAAAGGAGUGUUGAUGCUGCAGGGAGAUGCUCUCUGCCAAGCUGAUAUUAACUUGAAAAUGCCCAGAAAUAACCAGCUCCUGCACUUCACAUUCCGCGAAGACAAGCAGUGGAAAUUGCAGCAGAUCCAGGAUGCUAGGAACCACGUUAACCAAGCAAUUUACCUGCUCACAAACCGAGAUGUAAACUACCAGUUCAAAACCGGCUCUGAGGUCCUCAAGCUGAUGGAUGCGGUGAUGUUACAGCUGACACGAGCUCGGAACCGGCUCACUACUCCAGCCACCUUAACCCUACCAGAAAUUGCCUCCAGCGGCCUUACGAAAAUGUUCACCCCUGCUCUGCCCUCGGACAUCCUUGUGAAUGUUUACAUCAACCUAAAUAAGCUGUGUUUGACUGUCUACCAGCUCCAUGCACUGCAGCCCAAUUCCACCAAGAACUUCAGACCUACUGGAGGGUCUAUUCUGCAUAACCCUGGAGCCAUGUUUGAGUGUGGCAGCCAAAGAUAUGAAGUCAGCCACGUCCAUAAAGUGGAGUGUGUGGUACCUUGGCUAAAUGAUGCCCUUGUCUUCUUCACGGUCUCUCUGCAGCUCAGCCAGCAGCUGAAGGACAAGAUCUCUGUGUUUUCCAGCUACUGGAACUACAGGCCGUACUAAUCUUUCCAGGAGAGUUUGCCCCUGUGUGACCCCGAACUCUACUGCCCUGCCCUCUUAGGAGGAAACCCCUGUGUACCAACCUGAGAGGAGUGCCAUGUCGCAUUGGCCUGUGUCCUGCCAUACACCAGGGUUAUACUGCCCUUCCUCACAACAUCUUUGCCCACGGAACCGUUAGGAGAAGGUGGACUACAAACAUGGUUCGCUGCCUACUGGGUGCAGGAGGUCAGCGGAAACCAGUCCCUGUCAGCACUGAAUCCAGAAGAUUGUCUUGUUUGCUCUACUCAGUUCUCACCUAAAUAUCCAUUACGCUUUCAAUUUGUACCAAUAGUUUAUAAUUUUUCUUCAUUUAAUUUGUCUAAUGUAAAUUGUUCUUCCCCCUAUGUGCAGUGGGCUGCUUCUAGUGUUUGGAAUAAUUGUUCUUCACAAUUUAAUUCUUAUGUGUUUCCAGUUCUUAAUGCUUCAGGUCGAAGUGAUCAUAGCUUUCCUUUAAUUGAUAGUAUUAGAGUUCCAGCAUCUCAUUGUUGGGUUUUUGUUGGCAAUAGUUUAACCCCAGCCCCUACUUGGGUGGGUACUUAUUCUAAUUGUUCUAUGUGGAGUUUCUCUUAUGCUAAUACCUCCCUAACUAAACCCACUCUUACUUACACCUACUCCCCUCCCCUUAAUUGUUCUUAUUGUCUUAAUUAUAACAUUCUUUUUGGAACCUUUUAUACCUCCAUAACACAUACGUGUCUGUUCCAUGCCCAGCAUAUGCAUCAUGCUGAGGCUGCAUGUACCAAUCGAGCAUCCAGCUUUUCCUCUGUGAACAAUAAUAAGUGGAGCCAUAUCACAAUUUCUUCCUUAAGACCCAGUCAUUUUUGGAUUUGCGGUAAUGUCGCAUUUGCUGUGCUUCCUCCCAACCCCCGGGGUAUAUGCACCAUUGGCACCCUGUAUCUACAGGGAGGAGGUGUUUAUACCAUGCCAUCUAGCCACUGACACCGUCAUAGUACCCGCUCGUUUUGGACUCGUUUGCAAACAGCAGCUUCCUCCCUCGCCUGCUCUGUUGUUAGUUUUAACCCUGUCGGUUAUAUGAUGUUACGUGAUCAAGUGCUGUUUCAAUCCCUUGCUGUUGAAAUGCUUGCUAAUACUACUGCAAACGUUGAGCUCUACUGUCAAAGAGUCACGAGAGUCCUUCCAGUUUUGGUCAUGGCUCGAUUGGUUUGGCCUUGCGCCCUACAAAUCCUAUUUCCAAUCCCUGUUUGUGUCCCUUCUGAUUGGGCUCGCUCUUCUCUGUCUCGGAUGUGCCUUCAUUAAAGCCUGCAUUCACAAGUUUGUUGCCUCGGCCUACAUUGCUUCCACCCCCGAAGCGCAUCCCCUCGUAGGUGGGAAUGAGGAGUCGGACUCGGAAGUUUAGGUUUUCGGCCAGACUAUUUCGGCCAGGGCACGGGGGCAUGUUAAGAUAAGUUCCUGUCUGCAUCCUAAAAACUUGCCCAUACCGGUAUUGCCCUGGCCUCUUCCUUUGU